GUAUUACUCCCUACGUCCGAAAAUACUUGUCGCACAAAUGGGUAAAAGUGAAUGUAUCUAGAACUAAAAUAUGUCUAGAUACAUUCAUUUCUUCGACAAGUAUUUUCGGACGGAGGGAGUACUAG
rfam:Triticum aestivum genome assembly, contig: Triticum_aestivum_CS42_TGACv1_scaffold_158536_2DL